GACGAACGCUGGCGGCGUGCUUAACACAUGCAAGUCGAACGGUAAGGCCCUUCGGGGUACACGAGUGGCGAACGGGUGAGUAACACGUGGGUGAUCUGCCCUGCACUUCGGGAUAAGCCUGGGAAACUGGGUCUAAUACCGGAUAGGACCACUGCCUGCAUGGGUGGUGGUGGAAAGCUUUUGCGGUGUGGGAUGGGCCCGCGGCCUAUCAGCUUGGUGGUGGGGUGAUGGCCUACCAAGGCGACGACGGGUAGCGGGCCUGAGAGGGUGACCGGCCAAACUGGGACUGAGAUACGGCCCAGACUCCUACGGGAGGCAGCAGUGGGGAAUAGUGCACAAUGGGCGCAAGCCUGAUGCAGCGACGCCGCGUGAGGGAUGACGGCCUUCGGGUUGUAAACCUCUUUCAGCACCGACGAAGCGCAAGUGACGGUAGGUGCAGAAGAAGGACCGGCCAACUACGUGCCAGCCGCCGCCGUAA
rnacentral:rRNA from 1 species